rnacentral:rRNA from 1 species
AACGAACGCUGGCGGCAUGCCUAACACAUGCAAGUCGAACGAACUCUCCGGAGUUAGUGGCGCACGGGUGCGUAACGCGUGGGAAUCUGCCCUUGGGUACGGAAUAACUCAGAGAAAUUUGUGCUAAUACCGUAUAAUGUCUUCGGACCAAAGAUUUAUCGCCCAAGGAUGAGCCCGCGUAAGAUUAGCUUGUUGGUGAG